GUAAGUAAAUAUUAUGAAAACAAAAAAUUGUGGCGGUACUUCAAGCUUUUCAGAGGAAUUUGCUCUUUAAUGGAUAAAACACCUAAACCUUACUAAAAUUAGUUAUAAUCAGUUUGUAUACCACUAUGAAAGUAAUAACUUAUAAUUAUACUAUAAUUUUGAAAAUUUAAAAUUAAAUUAAGUCAUGGUGCAGCAAAAAUUUUAGAAUGAAGUGAAUUACAUUUCUUUUUAGAAUAUUUAUUUAAAAAAUUAAAAAAUAGUUAGGAUUUGAAAGUAAAAAUAUAAUAAAAUGAUAUUUUGAAUUAAGUNCUGAAGUAUGUAC
rnacentral:rRNA from 1 species